rnacentral:rRNA from 1 species
AUUGAACGCUGGCGGCAGGCCUAACACAUGCAAGUCGAACGAGUGGCGGACGGGUGAGUAAUGUCUGGGAAACUGCCCGAUGGAGGGGGAUAACUACUGGAAACGGUAGCUAAUACCGCAUACCAUCGGAUGUGCCCAGAUGGGAUUAGCUAGUAGGUGGGGUAACGGCUCACCUAGGCGACUAUCACUAGCUGGUCUGAGAGGAUGACCGGCCACACGGGAACUGACACAUGGUCCAGACUCUUACGGGAUGCAGCAGUGGGGAAUAUGGCACAAUGGUCGCAAGCCUGAUGCAGCCAUGCCGCGUGUAUGAAGAAGGCCUUCGGUUUGUAAAGUACUUUCAGCGAGGAGGCGUUACUCGCAGAAGAAGCAGCGGCUAACUCCGUGCCAGCAGCCGCGGGAAUU